GUUAGCACCAUAAAUACCCUGAAAGGCCCAGACUCCAGCUGACCUUGAAUGCAAAGCAGAAUAGUGCCUGGUUAGUACUUAGAUGGAGGAUUUCCAAAGAAUGCCAGGUGCUGCAGGCA
rnacentral:rRNA from 11 species